AGUUCGGAUUGUAGUNUGCAACCCGACUACAUGAAGCCGGAAUCGCUAGUAAUCGCGGAUCAGAAUGCCGCGGUGAAUACGUUCCCGGGUCUUGUACACACCGCCCGUCACACCAUGGGAGUCGGGAAUGCCCGAAGUCAGUGACCCAACCUUAGGGGAGGGAGCUGCCGAAGGCAGGCCUGGUGACUGGGGUGAAGUCGUAACAAGGUAGC
rnacentral:rRNA from 1 species